CCUACGGGUGGCAGCAGUGAGGAAUAUUGGUCAAUGGGCGCGAGCCUGAACCAGCCAAGUCGCGUGAGGGAUGAAGGUUCUAUGGAUCGUAAACCUCUUUUAUAAGGGAAUAAAGUGUGGGACGUGUCCUAUUUUGUAUGUACCUUAUGAAUAAGGAUCGGCUAACUCCGUGCCAGCAGCCGCGGUAAUACGGAGGAUCUGAGCGUUAUCCGGAUUUAUUGGGUUUAAAGGGUGCGUAGGCGGCCUUUUAAGUCAGCGGUGAAAGUCUGUGGCUCAACCAUAGAAUUGCCGUUGAAACUGGGGGGCUUGAGUAUGUUUGAGGCAGGCGGAAUGCGUGGUGUAGCGGUGAAAUGCUUAGAUAUCACGCAGAACCCCGAUUGCGAAGGCGGCCGCCUGGCCUGUUACUGACGCUGAGGCACGAAAGCGUGGGGAGCAAAUAGGAUUAGAUACCCUUGUAGUC
rnacentral:rRNA from 1 species